AUACAGUCCAAGACGCUGGGCUUGGCAUUCGAGGCUCCAGGAGGCGCCCUUUCCAGCCCCACUUCUGCCAGGCACUGCCCUGUGCUCUGUUCACAGCGACCUGUGAGCUGCAUCCCCAGCCUGUGCCUCCUUACCCUGCUGUCUGCACCCGGUCCUGUCUGCCUGGAGCACUCUUCCCCCGACUUUCCCCACCCAGCUCACUCCCAUCAGACUUCAAAACAGCUCCAGGCAGCCUUCCCUGGGCCCCAGGUUGGGCUAAGCCCUCUCCUCUGCAGUGUCACAGCCCGGUCUGUGCCACAGCCCUGAUCCACUGGGUUGUCACAGUUUCCACCUCCAGCUGCCCCCAGGAUGGGUCCCCAACAUUACCCAGCAUGCAGCCUGGCACAGGGGCCCUGGGUGGACCUGGAUUGUGGGUGAGGUUUCAAGGCCCCUGGAAGAUGGCUCCACAGGCAGUGAGAAGUGGAGGAGAGGACAGCGUGGGGACCACGACAGUCUCCCUAGGGAAAGCCAACUAUGUCAUGUGGACACUCAUGCAGUCCUCUGGAGUGAGCCACAUGGUGAAAAAUGGAGUCCUCCUGCCACCAGCCAAAAGGGACUUGCCAGCCUUGUGAGUGAGCCGGCCCAGACACUCUAGCCCCAGUUAAACCUUCAGAGGACUGUGGCCUCACCAACAUCUUGACUGCAACUUCAUGACAGACCCAGAGCUACACCCAGGCAACCAGGCUGCUCCCCAAUUCCUGGCCCACAGACACUGAAUCAGGACACUUUGCCAGCUCAGAAGGAGAGAGGGAAAGAGACAGACACACACACAGAGAGACAGUGACACGGAGAAGUGCGCCAUGGGCUCACAGUACCAUGUGAACGACUGGGGCUGCACUUGUGUAAAGUGAAGGCAGUGGAGAAGUGAAGUGAAGUGAAGUGAAGUGAAGUGUAAGUGAAGUGGAAAGUGAAGGACGGUGGAGAGCACCCUUGCCCUUGCAGCUUGGCUGUGAUUGGCUUGGGGCUGCUGGUCUCUGACCCUGGCUGGGCUGGUGACACAGCCUAAGGUACCUGGGGUGGGGGAGAAUCUGACGCCCCUGUGCAGACCCCUCCCCGGCUCCCGUCCCCCUGUGCUGACACUGUCCGUCCCAGGCUCUCUUUGCCUCCAGACCAGAGCUCCUCCAGGGAAGAGGUGGAGUCUUAUUCAUCUGUGUCCCUUGCCUAGCACAAGGCCUGCCAGAGCAGGCUGGGCCAGGUGAGCACAGAAGGCCCUCUGGCCCUGGCCUCGGAGAGGCAUCAUCAGUGGGGACAGAGCGAGAACCAGGAUGAUCCUGUUUCUGACUGGAGGAGCUCCCAUUGGAUGGAUGAGCCAACAACGACAGUCCAGUGUGAUCAGGGAGAUUGGGACACACAGUGCCGUGGGGGCCCAGAGGAGCAGGGAGGAUCUCUUUGGAGGAGACUAGAAGGCUUCCCAGAGGAGGAGGCAUUUGAAGUGAGGCCCAAAUAGUAAACAGAAGCCAACCCAUGCAGGAGUGUUUUAGGCAGAGGGCACGGCCUAGCAGAGAGCACAGCCUGGCAAAGGUCUGAAGCUCCAGUUCCUGGGGGGUAGAGUGAAAGAGUAGAGCGUGCAGAGAGUAGGCUGCUGGGGCUCCCAUGGCUCUGGAGGCCAACAUGGGACUUGGGAGUGGCAGGGCACCAUGCUGACAGCAGGUGAAAUGUCACCUACAUCUGUCUCAUGGGGAAUUCAUUACAUUUGGGGUUGGGUUUGGGAGUUUUCUUUGGAAACCCAGGGUAGGGAGGAUCUGUAAGCUUGAGUCCGUCCAGGAUGGAGAGGGAGGGUAGGGGAGGACUGGAAGUCACCUGGGCAGCAGAAGUUUUACCGGGACCUCAGUGUCCGUUUGGUGUCUUGUGUUCUUGUGUGUUUCAAGGACUGAGCUUUCUCCCUUUGCCCCUCACAGAAAUUAACCAGUUUAUGUGCCCCGAAAAAUUCCCACCCUCUGGGUUUGCACACUGGGUCAGUCACUUACUAGCUGUGUGACUUCUCUGCUGCUUAGUUUACUCAUCUGUAAAAUGGGAUAAACACAAAACCUGCCUCAUAAAGAUAUUGUAAGGAUUAAACAGGGAAAAGAAUGUAAAACAUUUAGAAUGGUGCCUGACCCCCAGCAAGUAUAAAAUAAAUAUUGGCUAUU